GUUCACACCAGGUUACUCCGAGUCUUUUGUUUGUUUGUUUGCUUCCCCGGUCAGACGCACUGCUUUGAGGCUUUAGGUGUAACCGAGGGAGCCCCAGGAGGCUCCGUCGAUGGAGAAGGCGAGCUGGGGGAGGCGAAAGGAAGCCCAGGUGCGAGGGAGGGAGGGGGCAGCCCGCUAAGAUCCCUUUUCCUUCCUGGGGAAACACCUCGGCGUCCCGCUCCUCCCCCCCCCCCCGCGAAUCGAGUCCAGGGAGAGAAAGGCUUGUGCCCUCGCAUUCUUUCGCUGCAGCGCGCGCACCCCGACACACACACACACACACACACGUUGGGCAGGAUUUGUCAGCAAAGUUUGCCCUCAGCGUGGCUGCCUCGUCUGUGGAGCUGCCGGGGAGAGCCCAGGAGGGAAGCGAGAGAGCGAGCGAAGGGCGGGCUGCGCUCCAGCGAGGCUUUCCCUUCCCCUCACAGACUGCAGUGCGAGCUGGGAAGGGAAUUGCCAAGCGAGAGAGAGAGAGAGAGAGAGAGAGCGAGCCUUGGUGCGCGGCCGCCGCUGGCCGCGGCGUCUCUCGUCUCGGGCCUUCUUCUCUCGGGCCACCUCAGGCAGCCGCGAGAGGCGGAUUACUCUGGCUGGUGUGUGGCUGCGCAAGGAGGUGUGCCGUGUGACUUCCCGCGCUGGGGUCAGCCCAGCUGCCUCCUCCGCCGCGGCAGGAGCGAAAAUGAAUUUGAAGGAAAAUUGGUGAAUCCAACCCAGUGGAUUUGGUAGACUUGGAGAACAGAGUCUGGACCAAAAAACAAUUAUCCUGCUAAACGAUUUCAGUAUCUACCAUGGGUAGAAUGAAGAGAAACCGGGUUGGAUCCAAAAUCUCAUGUGUGGAAUUCAACUCACAAAAAGGGAAUUCUUGGGACUGCCUGAAAAUAUGCUUUGGAGCGUGGUAUGGAGGGGGUAAGGACCCUUCAGAACAGCGCAGGAUCAUCAAAACCAUGGCGGGAAGCCUUCACUUUUGGAUUAUCUUUUUGACAGUGGACCACCCAUAAAAUUAUUAUCCUCCUACCAAAGCUGAUAGGAUGUGAAU
rnacentral:lncRNA from 1 species